AGUUAGAAAUAGCAACCAUUAUGAAAACACGAGCGGGAUAUUCAAAAUAAUAUACAUUUCAAUGGAUACAUAUCAUAAAGGUAAAGGAAAUUCUUCCUAGCAAGGAUGUCUGAAUCCCGCUAGAGAAGAGAGGAGAAGGAGGAGAGGAAGAGAUGGGAAUGGGGAGAAGGUUGGGGGGGUGGGGAUGGGUGAAUGCGUGAGUAAGGGGUAGAGGUGUAUAGGGGUAAGGUCGAAACGAAGGAAGGAACUCUGGUGUAAACUCGCGAGAGAGGCGGCGGUAUCUCUCUUCGAGUACGGCGGUGUAUUGAACUCGGUGCUCGAGGUCGUUGAACUCGCGUGCGGGCGGCGUGGCUCUGGUGUGUGGCUUAUGACGUCACGUGACUCGCUGUCUCCGUCGCCGUCUCCGCCGGCGGCUGGGUCGACGACGACAACAACGACAACAACGACGAGGACGACGAGGACGACGAGAACAACAAUAACAACGACAACGACGACGACGACGACGACGAAAACGAGCGAAGCGAAGUGACAAUCAAUUUUGAGAUAAGAAUCGAUGCUGAGCAGUAAAUAUUUGAUCGAAAGGAAAGAAGAAAGAAGAAAUAAAAAAAGAAAAAAGGA